rnacentral:tRNA from 6 species
GGGCUUGUAGUAUAGGGGUAGUACGUGCGGCUGGCAGUCGUGAGGUUUGGGUUCGACUCCCGGCAAGUCCA